UGGCAAACGGCUGAGUAACGCGUAGGAACCUACCCCAAACUCGAGUAUAGCCCCGCGAAAGCGGGGGUAAUCCUCGAUAGUCCGUGAAGCAUCUUGCUUUACGGUAAAGCUUUUGCGGUUUGGGAUGGGCCUGCGUCCUAUCAGGUAGUUGGUGAGGUAAAUGCUCACCAAGCCUAUGACGGGUAGCUGGUCUGAGAGGAUGAUCAGCCAGACUGGGACUGCGACACGGCCCAGACUCCUACGGGAGGCAGCAACUAGGAAUUGUGCGCAAUGGACGAAAGUCUGACGCCGCGACAUCGCGUGGAGGAUGAAGGUCUUCGGAUUGUAAACUCCUUUUCUUACCGAACAAGUUCUGAGUGUAGGUAAGGAAUAAGUGCCUGCUAACCACGUGCCAGAAGCAUCGGUAAUACGUGGGGCACGAGCGUUAUCCGGAUUUACUGGGCGUAAAGAGAAGCGUAGGCGGCUCGAUAAGUUUGGUGUUAAAUCUUCCGGCUCAACCGGAAACAAGCAUCGAAAACUAUCGAGAUUGAGUCGAGUAGGGAAGAGGGGAAUUCCUGGUGGAGCGGUUAAAUGCGUAGAUAUCAGGAGGAAUACCAA
rnacentral:rRNA from 1 species